rnacentral:rRNA from 1 species
GACGAACGCUGGCGGCGUGCUUAACACAUGCAAGUCGAACGGAAAGGCCCUGCUUUUGUGGGGUGCUCGAGUGGCGAACGGGUGAGUAACACGUGAGUAACCUGCCCUUGACUUUGGGAUAACUUCCGGAAACUGGGGCUAAUACCGGAUAGGAGCUCCUGCUGCAUGGUGGGGGUUGGAAAGUUUCGGCGGUUGGGGAUGGACUCGCGGCUUAUCAGCUUGUUGGUGGGGUAGUGGCUUACCAAGGCUUUGACGGGUAGCCGGCCUGAGAGGGUGACCGGCCACAUUGGGACUGAGAUACGGCCCAGACUCCUACGGGAGGCAGCAGUGGGGAAUAUUGCACAAUGGGCGGAAGCCUGAUGCAGCAACGCCGCGUGCGGGAUGACGGCCUUCGGGUUGUAAACCGCUUUCGCCUGUGAUGAAGCGUGAGUGGCGGUAAUGGGUAAAGAAGCACCGGCUAACUACGUG